GUGCCAGCCGCUGCGGUAAUACCGGCAGCCCGAGUGAUGGCCGAUCUUAUUGGGCCUAAAGCGUCCGUAGCUGGGUCUGAAAGUCCAUCGGGAAAUCCACUCGCUCAACGAGUGGCCGUCCGGUGGAAACUCCACACCUUGGGACCGGAAGGCUCGAAGGGUACGGCCGGGGUAGGAGUGAAAUCCUGUAAUCCCGUCCGGACCACCGAUGGCGAAAGCACUUCGAGAAAACGGAUCCGACAGUGAGGGACGAAAGCCAGGGUCUCCAACCGGAUUAGAAACCCCUGUAGUCC
rnacentral:rRNA from 1 species